rnacentral:misc_RNA from 1 species
UGCAUGAUUUGAACAGAGAUGUAUUGUGAGACAACCAGCAAUACAGGCAAGACAAGAUAUGCCAAGGUAUCAGACCACCCAAGAGGUGGAUGUCCAUCAACAAAAGGGAACAGCCAAGAGAUGCCACUGCCAUUUUGACGAGCAGCAAUUGUAGUAGGACCAGAAAGGGAGGGUAUCCAAAAGAAGCCUUCAGUAAGAAGUCCCUCAUCUGCUACAUUUGAAAGGGCUCUAUACAGUCCUAUCCAAACUGGUAUUGUUGCGAGAGUAGGUAGGCAUCCUGCAAACGGGUUUAUGCCUGCUAGUUUAUACAAUCUGGCUGUUUCAAGUUGAAUUCUCUCCUGAUCUCCAGUAUACCGUUUCUGAAUAGCCUUUAUCUGAGGCUGCAAGGAUCGCAUAGCCAUUGCAGAUUCUACCUGCUUCUUAGUCAAAGGAAACGUGGCAGCCUUAACAAGAACGGUUAGGAGUAUAAUAGCGAACCCAUAAGCAUAAGGAACAUGCAAAGUAGAUAACCCAUCUUUUAAAACCUUUAAAACACUUUCCAUGUAAUUGGUGAUACCAGAGAGCCAAUCAUUGUUCUGUUUGGUUGUAGUGGUAACAGUAUCCGCAUUCGAGACAGCAGCAUCAGCAAUCGUAUAAAGAACACUCUCAGCUCUGCUAAACAAAUCCUUAACCAUUCCUUCAGCGGCACCAUCCGGAAAAAGACCGGGUUUGAACCCAAAACGAGCGACGCAGACCGACCCACGAAGAAACGUUUUGUGGGUAUAGAAGGAACUGAAUUGAGUUCGGGGAAGAAGAAGGUUUGAGGUUCUUGUUCGGUCCGGGAAGGAGGAGAAGACGAGGUUGGGUAACGAAGAAGACAGAGAUGUGGACAUUUGGUUGUUAUUAUAAUUUGAAGGUGAAGGGAUAAGGUAUUUGUGGAAAAUCACAGGUUCAGGUUUGGAGUUGAAUAGGUUGGCGGAGCACAGAGAGCGGGUGUGGUCUGGUCUGGUCUGGCCUGGCCUGGCCUUGUCUGGUUUGAGGUCUUGGACUUGGCGGUGUCAGCGAAGGGAGAGAGGAAAGUUUUGAGGGAGGAGUAGACGUUGGC